GCCAGCAUGCCAUAGUGGUUUGAGUAUUGGAUUACAACUCUGGAGAUCAGGGUUCAAUUCCCAGCUCAGCCA
rnacentral:tRNA from 1 species